UUCCUUCGCGGAUUGAUUAUUUUCGUGACUUGAGUCGNCGGACGGGUNAGUAACGCGUGGGUAACCUACCUUAUACAGGGGGAUAACAGUUGGAAACGACUGCUAAUACCGCAUAAGCGCACAGCAUCGCAUGAUGCAGUGUGAAAAGCUCCGACGGUAUAAGAUGGACCCGCGUCUGAUUAGCUAGUUGGUGAGGUAACGGCCCACCAAUGUCGGGAUCAGUAGCCCGACCUGACAGGGUGACCGGCCACAUUGGGACUGAGACACGGCCCAAACUCCUACGGCGAGUGCACCCAGUGGGGAAUAUUGCACAAUGGGCCGAAAGCCUGAUGCAGUGACGCCCGCGUGAGCGAAUAAGUAUUUCGGUAUGUAAAGCUCU
rnacentral:rRNA from 1 species